rnacentral:rRNA from 1 species
CAGACUUCCGAGAAAACCCUCUAAGCUACAGGUUAUGGGUACCCGUACCGUAAACCGACACAGGUAGUCAAGGAGAGAAUCCUGAGGUGCUCGAGUGAUUCAUGGCUAAGGAACUAGGCAAAAUGACCCUGUAACUUCGGGAGAAGGGGUCCCUACGUGAGUAGGGCGCAGCGAAACGAUCCAGGCGACUGUUUAUCAAAAACACAUGGCUUUGCGAACUUGAAAGAGGAAGUAUAAGGCCUGACACCUGCCCGG